rnacentral:rRNA from 1 species
AUACGGAGGGUCCAAGCGUUAUCCGGAAUCAUUGGGUUUAAAGGGUGCGCAGGCGGUUUAUUAAGUCAGUGGUGAAAUCUCGGGGCUCAACCUCGAAACUGCCAUUGAUACUGAUAAACUUGAGUUCAGUUGGAGUAGGCGGAAUGUGUAGUGUAGCGGUGGAAUGCUUAGAUAUUACACAGAACACCGAUAGCGAAGGCAGCUUACUAAACUGAUACUGACGCUGAGGCACGAAAGCGUGGGGAGCGAACAGAAUUAGAAACCCCAGUAGUCC